rnacentral:rRNA from 1 species
ACUCCUACGGGAGGCAGCAGUCGAGAAUCUUCCCCAAUGGACGAAAGUCUGAGGGAGCGACGCCGCGUGAGGGAUGAAGGCCCUUUGGUUUGUAAACCUCUGUUAGGGGGAAAGAACAGCAGUGGAAGCAACAUGUCCAUUGCCUGACGUUACCCCCAGAGAAAGCUCGGGCCAACUCCGUGCCAGCAGCCGCGGUAAUACGGGGGGAGCAAGCGUUGUCCGGAAUCAUUGGGCGUAAAGGGCGUGUAGGCGGUUAGGCAAGUCGAAUGUGAAAUCCCACGGCUCAACCGUGGAACUGCGUUCGAAACUGCCCUACUUGAGUGCGGGAGAGGUGUGCGGAAUUCCUGGUGUAGCGGUGGAAUGCGUAGAUAUCAGGAAGAACACCGGUGGCGAAGGCGGCACACUGGCCCAGCACUGACGCUGAGGCGCGAAAGCGUGGGGAGCGAACGGGAUUAGAUACCCCGGUAGUCCACGCUGUAAACUUUGGGCACUAGGUAUUGGAGGUCUCAACCCCUUCAGUGCCGUAGCUAACGCGUUAAGUGCCCCGCCUGGGGAGUACGGUCGCAAGGCUGAAACUCAAAUGAAUUGACGG